rnacentral:tRNA from 1 species
CUUAGCUCAGCUGGGAGAGCAUCUGCCUUACAAGCAGAGGGUCGGCGGUUCGAUCCCGUCAGCNCCCU